UAGCGCGGUGGUCCCACCUGACCCCAUGCCGAACUCAGAAGUGAAACGCCGUAGCGCCGAUGGUAGUGUGGGGUCUCCCCAUGUGAGAGUAGGGGACUGCCAGGC
rnacentral:rRNA from 1 species